CAGCCGCCGCGGUAAUACGAGGGGGGCAAGCGUUGUUCGGAAUUACUGGGCGUAAAGGGCGCGUAGGCGGCACGAUUAGUCAGGCGUGAAAUUCCUGGGCUCAACCUGGGGACUGCGCUUGAUACGGUCGAGCUAGAGGAUGGAAGAGGGUUGUGGAAUUCCCAGUGUAGAGGUGAAAUUCGUAGAUAUUGGGAAGAACACCGGUGGCGAAGGCGGCAACCUGGUCCAUUACUGACGCUGAGGCGCGACAGCGUGGGGAGCAAACAGGAUUAGAUACCCCCGUAGUCCCUGUCUCUUAUAA
rnacentral:rRNA from 1 species